CCUACGGGGGGCAGCAGUGGGGAAUAUUGGGCAAUGGGCGAAAGCCUGACCCAGCAACGCCGCGUGAAGGAAGAAGGCUUUCGGGUUGUAAACUUCCUUUGACAGGGAAGAGCAGAAGACGGUACCUGCCGAAUAAGCCACGGCUAACUACGUGCCAGCAGCCGAGGUAAUACGUAGGUGGGAAGUGGUGUCCGGAUUUACUGGGUGAAAAGGGCGUGUAGCCGGGCUGACAAGUCAGAUGUGAAAUCCGGGGGCUCAACCCCCGAACUGCAUUUGAAACUGUUAGUCUUGAGUAUCGGAGAGGCAGGCGGAAUUCCUGGUGUAGCGGUGAAAUGCGUAGAUAUUAGGAGGAACACCAGUGGCGAAGGCAGCCUGCUGGACGACAACUGACGGUGAGGCGCGAAAGCGUGGGGAGCAAACAGGAUUAGAUACCCUAGUAGUC
rnacentral:rRNA from 1 species